GGAAUCUUCGGAUUCUAGUGGCGGACGGGUGAGUAACGCGUAAGAAUCUAACUUCAGGACGGGGACAACAGUUGGAAACGACUGCUAAUACCCGAUGUGCCGAAAGGUGAAACCUAAUUGGCCUGAAGAAGAGCUUGCGUCUGAUUAGCUAGUUGGUGGGGUAAAGGCCUACCAAGGCGACGAUCAGUAUCUGGUCUGAGAGGAUGAGCAGCCACACUGGGACUGAGACACGGCCCAGACUCCUACGGGAGGCAGCAGUGGGGAAUUUUCCGCAAUGGGCGAAAGCCUGACGGAGCAACGCCGCGUGAGGGAGGAAGGUCUUUGGAUUGUAAACCUCUUUUCUCAAGGAAGAAGUUCUGACGGUACUUGAGGAAUCAGCCUCGGCUAACUCCGUGCCAGCAGCCGCGGUAAUACGGGGGAGGCAAGCGUUAUCCGGAAUUAUUGGGCGUAAAGCGUCCGCAGGUGGUCAGCCAAGUCUGCCGUCAAAUCAGGUUGCUUAACGACCUAAAGGCGGUGGAAACUGGCAGACUAGAGAGCAGUAGGGGUAGCAGGAAUUCCCAGUGUAGCGGUGAAAUGCGUAGAGAUUGGGAAGAACAUCGGUGGCGAAAGCGUGCUACUGGGCUGUAUCUGACACUCAGGGACGAAAGCUAGGGGAGCGAAAGGGAUUAGAUACCCCUGUAGUCCUAGCCGUAAACGAUGGAUACUAGGCGUGGCUUGUAUCGACCCGAGCCGUGCCGAAGCUAACGCGUUAAGUAUCCCGCCUGGGGAGUACGCACGCAAGUGUGAAACUCAAAGGAAUUGACGGGGGCCCGCACAAGCGGUGGAGUAUGUGGUUUAAUUCGAUGCAACGCGAAGAACCUUACCAAGACUUGACNUGUCGCGAACCCUNNGAAAGCUGGGGGUGCCUUCGGGAGCGCGAACACNGNUGGUGCAUGGNUGUCGUCAGCUCGU
rnacentral:rRNA from 1 species